rnacentral:rRNA from 1 species
CUCAACCUGGGAAUUGCAUUGGAGACUGCAAGGCUAGAAUCUGGCAGAGGGGGGUAGAAUUCCACGUGUAGCAGUGAAAUGCGUAGAUAUGUGGAGGAACACCGAUGGCGAAGGCAGCCCCCUGGGUCAAGAUUGACGCUCAUGCACGAAAGCGUGGGGAGCAAACAGGAUUAGAUACCCUGGUAGUCCACGCCCUAAACGAUGUCUACUAGUUGUCGGGUCUUAAUUGACUUGGUAACGCAGCUAACGCGUGAAGUAGACCGCCUGGGGAGUACGGUCGCAAGAUUAAAACUCAAAGGAAUUGACGGGGACCCGCACAAGCGGUGGAUGAUGUGGAUUAAUUCGAUGCAACGCGAAAAACCUUACCUACCCUUGACAUGGCUGGAAUCCUUGAGAGAUCAGGGAGUGCUCGAAAGAGAACCA